GGGCCCGUAGCUCAGUAUGGAUAGAGCGGCGGCCUUCUAAGCCGUAGGUCGCGGGUUCAAGUCCCGCCGGGCCCG
rnacentral:tRNA from 1 species